rnacentral:rRNA from 1 species
AUUAUGAAAAGCAAAAAAUUAUGGCGGUAUUUUAAGCUUUUCAGAGGAAUUUGCUCUUUAAUGGAUAAAACACCAAAAUCUUACUUAAAUUUGUUACUUCAAUUUGUAUACCACUAUAAAAACAAUUUAUAACUUUAAUUGUUUAAAUUUAUUAAAUUAAAAUAUAUUAAGUCAAGGUGCAGUAAAAAUUUAAGAAUGAAGUGAAUUACAUUACUUUUUAGUGAAAAAAAAAAUUAUAAUAACACUUAGGAUUUGAAAGUAAAUUUGAAAUAGGAUGUCAAUUUGAAUCAAGCUCUAAAAUAUGUACACAUCGCC